rnacentral:rRNA from 1 species
CCUGGCUCAGAUUGAACGCUGGCGGCAGGCCUAACACAUGCAAGUCGAACGGUAACAGGAAGCAGCUUGCUGCUUCGCUGACGAGUGGCGGACGGGUGAGUAAUGUCUGGGAAACUGCCUGAUGGAGGGGGAUAACUACUGGAAACGGUAGCUAAUACCGCAUAACGUCGCAAGACCAAAGAGGGGGACCUUCGGGCCUCUUGCCAUCGGAUGUGCCCAGAUGGGAUUAGCUUGUUGGUGGGGUAACGGCUCACCAAGGCGACGAUCCCUAGCUGGUCUGAGAGGAUGACCAGCCACACUGGAACUGAGACACGGUCCAGACUCCUACGGGAGGCAGCAGUGGGGAAUAUUGCACAAUGGGCGCAAGCCUGAUGCAGCCAUGCCGCGUGUAUGAAGAAGGCCUUCGGGUUGUAAAGUACUUUCAGCGGGGAGGAAGGGAGUAAAGUUAAUACCUUUGCUCAUUGACGUUACCCGCAGAAGAAGCACCGGCUAACUCCGUGCCAGCAGCCGCGGUAAUACGGAGGGUGCAAGCGUUAAUCGGAAUUACUGGGCGUAAAGCGCACGCAGGCGGUUUGUUAAGUCAGAUGUGAAAUCCCCGGGCUCAACCUGGGAACUGCAUCUGAUACUGGCAAGCUUGAGUCUCGUAGAGGGGGGUAGAAUUCCAGGUGUAGCGGUGAAAUGCGUAGAGAUCUGGAGGAAUACCGGUGGCGAA